rnacentral:rRNA from 1 species
CUAUUCCUAGUCAAUACAAAUUGUGAUCUGGAUCUCACGAAUAUAUCGAUUCCAGCCAACAAUGACACUAUAACUUCAUUUCGACCGAUUUUUAACAAAUUAGUAUUUUCGCUUUAUGAGGGCCAUUCUCUCUAUAUAAAAAAUCGUUGCUUAAGAAUAUAUAGUGAAUUCUUGGGCAGCUACGUAAAUUUAUGA